rnacentral:rRNA from 1 species
UACGGAGGGUGCAAGCGUUAUCCGGAUUUACUGGGUUUAAAGGGUGUGUAGGCGGACUUUUAAGUCCGUGGUGAAAUCUCCGGGCUCAACCUGGAAACUGCCAUUGAUACUAUUAGUCUUGAAUUUUGUUGAGGUAGGCGGAAUAAGUCAUGUAGCGGUGAAAUGCAUAGAUAUGACUUAGAACACCAAUUGCGAAGGCAGCUUGCUAAACAAAUAUUGACGCUGAGGCACGAAAGCGUGGGGAUCAAACAGG